GCUACCAUGCAGUCGAGCGGCAGCGGGAAGUAGCUUGCUACUUUUGCCGGCGAGCGGCGGACGGGUGAGUAAUGCCUGGGAAAUUGCCCAGUCGAGGGGGAUAACAGUUGGAAACGACUGCUAAUACCGCAUACGCCCUACGGGGGAAAGCAGGGGACCUUCGGGCCUUGCGCGAUUGGAUAUGCCCAGGUGGGAUUAGCUAGUUGGUGAGGUAAUGGCUCACCAAGGCGACGAUCCCUAGCUGGUCUGAGAGGAUGAUCAGCCACACUGGAACUGAGACACGGUCCAGACUCCUACGGGAGGCAGCAGUGGGGAAUAUUGCACAAUGGGGGAAACCCUGAUGCAGCCAUGCCGCGUGUGUGAAGAAGGCCUUCGGGUUGUAAAGCACUUUCAGCGAGGAGGAAAGGUCAGUAGCUAAUAUCUGCUGGCUGUGACGUUACUCGCAGAAGAAGCACCGGCUAACUCCGUGCCAGCAGCCGCGGUAAUACGGAGGGUGCAAGCGCUAAUCGGAAUUACUGGGCGUAAAGCGCACGCAGGCGGUUGGAUAAGUUAGAUGUGAAAGCCCCGGGCUCAACCUGGGAAUUGCAUUUAAAACUGUCCAGCUAGAGUCUUGUAGAGGGGGGUAGAAUUCCAGGUGUAGCGGUGAAAUGCGUAGAGAUCUGGAGGAAUACCGGUGGCGAAGGCGGCCCCCUGGACAAAGACUGACGCUCAGUGCGAAAGCGUGGGGAGCAACAGAUUAGAUACCCUGUAGUCCACGCCGUAAACGAUGUCGAUUUGGAGGCUGUGUCCUUGAGAACGUGGCUUCCGGAGCUAACCGCGUUAAAUCG
rnacentral:rRNA from 1 species